rnacentral:rRNA from 1 species
CUAUAACGGUCCUAAGGUAGCGAAAUUCCUUGUCGGGUAAGUUCCGACCUGCACGAAUGGCAUAAUGAUGGCGGCGCUGUCUCCAGCAGAGACUCAGUGAAAUCGAAAUCGCAGUGAAGAUGCUGUGUACCCGCGGCUAGACGGAAAGACCCCGUGAACCUUUACUACAGCUUUACAUUGAACUUUGACCUUACCUGUGUAGGAUAGGUGGGAGGCUUUGAAGCAGGCACGCCAGUGUCUGUGGAGCCAUCCUUGAAAUACCACCCUGGUAAUGUUGGGGUUCUAACUCAAGCUUAACAGAGCUGAGGACAAUGUAUGGUGGGUAGUUUGACUGGGGCGGUCUCCUCCUAAAGAGUAACGGAGGAGUACGAAGGUGCGCUCAGAACGGUCGGAAAU